UACAGAGGGUGCAAGCGUUGUUCGGAAUUAUUUGGGCGUAAAGGGCGCGUAGGCGGUGCGGUAAGUCUGUAGUGAAAUCUCUGGGCUCAACUCAGAGUCUGCUGCAGAAACUGCCGUGCUUGAGUGUGGGAGAGGUGAGUGGAAAUUCCCGGUGUAGCGGUGAAAUGCGUAGAUAGUCGGGAGGAACACCUGUGGCGAAAGCGGCUCGACUGGACCACAACUGA
rnacentral:rRNA from 1 species